rnacentral:rRNA from 1 species
UCUUUUCCUUUUUUUCCCGCAGCCGCGGUAAUACGGAGGAUGCGAGCGUUAUCCGGAUUUAUUGGGUUUAAAGGGAGCGCAGACGGGUCGUUAAGUCAGCUGUGAAAGUUUGGGGCUCAACCUUAAAAUUGCAGUUGAUACUGGCGUCCUUGAGUGCGGUUGAGGUGUGCGGAAUUCGUGGUGUAGCGGUGAAAUGCUUAGAUAUCACGAAGAACUCCGAUUGCGAAGGCAGCACACUAAGCCGUAACUGACGUUCAUGCUCGAAAGUGUGGGUAUCAAACAGG